rnacentral:lncRNA from 12 species
GUCCAAUCCCCCUGGAAAUCAUUGUUGGCUCACUCCGUGCUCUCUCCCGUUUCCCCUCCCUCAGUCCCUCCUCACCAACACGCCUCUUAAGCGCUUCUGAAGAUCUGAGAUGUUGCUGGGUUUAAGGAGGAAGCCUGCCCUCCGGGCCACCGACUCCCGGUGGUGGUGGCCGCAGCCGCGCGCAGGACUGCACCGUCGGAACCGAGCACUGAGGUCUUCCCCCACCUGGCCCAGGGAUUUGGAAAUGAGGCAGCUCCAGUUCCCUCCAGACUUACGCACAGUCGCCUCUAAGUUGGAACUACUCAGAGAAACUAUCCAAGGAUUUUCAUCAUACCCUGGAAAAACAUGGACUAUAAAGAAAAAGAUAUAUUGCCACCUAGUGGAAAAUAGGCAGAAUCAUUUGGUUGUCAUUCAGUUUUUAAAUCACAAAAUGCAUUAAGACAGAAGUCUUUCCCUUUCAAAUAGGAUGUGUUUCAUGUGAGAAUGUCAUUGUGUCUAUGGGACAUAGGAUACAAGUGUGCUACAUUGGUAGGUGUCAUGAAAUACUACAGGUAGGUAGUCCACUAUACUCACUCAACUUUUAAAUAAUUAGUUGUAAGGCACGGCGUUCAUCUAAGCACUAAUAAAAAGGUUAGAGGACAUAGAAAAGAUUGAUAU